AGCCGACCUUGGAAUACCACCCUUGGCAAAAUUAAGUCCUAACCGGCAUCCUCAGCGGGUGUCGAGACAGUGGCAGGUGGGCAGUUUGACUGGGGCGGUCGCCUCCCAAACCGUAACGGAGGCGCCCAAAGGUCCCCUCAGCACGGAUGGAAACCGUGCGGCGAGUGCAAGGGCAUAAGGGGGCUUGACUGUGAGGCCUACAAGCCGAGCAGAGGCGAAAGCCGGGCCUAGUGAUCCUACGCCGGCAAGUGGAAGCGGCGUGGCUUAACGGAUAAAAGCUACCCCGGGGAUAACAGGCUGAUCUCCCCCAAGAGUCCACAUCGACGGGGAGGUUUGGCACCUCGAUGUCGGCUCAUCGCAUCCUGGGGCUGCAGUAGGUCCCAAGGGUUGGGCUGUUCGCCCAUUAAAGCGGUACGUGAGCUGGGUUCAGAACGUCGUGAGACAGUAAGUGACCGCUGCUGUCUAUAAAUCUGGCUAUAUGCUGGAAAGCCUGGGGUAUCCCAUGCUACCCUCCCAAAACCCCUCGGUGCGAUGCCGAAGGAGUGAGGGGGGGUCACAACGCGAUGGGUGCAGGCAAUCAGCAGGGAAGGCCAGACGAGCAGAUCGGCCACUACAGUGCGGGUUUUGUCGACGGAGAAGGUAGUUUCCACGUGGCGGUCCAGCGUAAUCCCACCACGCGGUUGAAGUGGCAGGUGGUUCCGGAGUUCCACGUUUCCCAGAACGAUGGGAAUCAGCAUGUGCUGGCGCUGAUUCGAGAUAUGCCGGGAUGUGGAUACAUCAAGCCGAACCACCAGCGCAGUAUUCGCGACAGAACCUACGUGCUGGUGGUAAGAAAUCACGCCGACCUUGCGGGGAAGGUGGUACCGUUCUUUAGGCGGUAUCCCCUGCGCACGACCAAGCGCGCCGACUUUGAUCGGUUCGCAGAAGUCGUCGCGAUGGUCGAUGAAGGCAGGCACCUCGCUCGAACCGGGUUGAGGGAGGUCCUGGCGCUCGCCUUCUCGAUGAAUCAAGCCGGCGUGAGGCGGCGCAAGCCGCUCGACGCGAUCCUUGCUCAUCUGGAACCCUCAGAGACUAUACGCCAGACGCUCAAUAUCGGGCGAAGAUAUAGUCCGAGCUUCCAGGCGACUGGAAGAGGCAGGCAGAAAUGACCUGCCCCCUCCGCAUGCAGGGAGGUGUAACAGAACUGUCGGUCCCUAUCCACUGCGGGCGCAGGUGACUUGAGGGGAGCUGCUCCUAGUACGAGAGGACCGGAGUGGACGGACCUCUGGUGUACCGGUUGUCCUGCCAAGGGCACGCGCCGGGUAUCUAUGUCCGGACGGGAUAAGCGCUGAAAGCAUCUAAGCGCGAAGCCCACCCCAAGAUGAGGUCACCCACCGGGUGAACCGGGUAAGUCCCCUGGGAGACGACCAGGUUGAUAGGCCGCGGGUGCAAGGCCGCAAGGCUCAGCCUAGCGGUACUAAUAGGACGAGGGCUUGCCUGC
rnacentral:rRNA from 1 species